rnacentral:rRNA from 1 species
GUACCUACGGGAGGCAGCAGUCGGGAAUACUGCGCAAUGGAGGAAACUCUGACGCAGUGACGCCGCGUGCAGGAAGAAGGUUUUCGGAUUGUAAACUGCUUUAGACAGGGAAGAAACAAGACAGUACCUGUAGAAUAAGCUCCGGCUAACUACGUGCCAGCAGCCGCGGUAAUACGGAGGAUGCGAGCGUUGUCCGGAAUUACUGGGUGUAAAGGGAGUGUAGGCGGGAAAGCAAGUCAGAAGUGAAAACUAUGGGCUUAACCCAUAGC